CUCAAAUAUUAAAAAUAAAUUACAUCUAAAUUCUCUUCUCUCUUUCUCUUUCUCUCUCUCCUCUUCCCCUCUCUCUCCCAUCCUCUCUGUGUCUCUUUUUCAUUCCUUCCCUUACCAGCAGCAUCGUGGCAGCAUAGUACAAUGUUAAGAGCAUCUAUGGACUUCGAAAGCUUGGGUUUCAGCCCCAUACCUGAUAGUCUCAAAUGUCAUGUCAAAGUCUCAGAUUCUUCACCUGAAAAAUAAAUAACAGUUUAUGUUUGGGGAAAGAAGUAGAAAUGGAGACUUGAAACGGAAAUUAUUUAGAUUCCACACUUCCAGCUUUAUAAAACACAUGGCCAUUGAAUUUGAAUCUUCCAGAGUCAUGUUUCUUCUUGACUAUUUCUUCCAAG
rnacentral:lncRNA from 12 species